GGCUGUGUGGCGUAAUGGCAACGCGUCUAACCACAUACGACAAAUGAUCCCGUCAUCAGGAGAUUGCAGGUUUGACCCCUGUCUCGGUGA